AAGCCCAAAUUAAUGCAGUACCGCUCUCUAAACUGGGCUUUGUAGUUUCGGUUGGGACCCCUAUCGUGGCGCCUUGUUAUUGGCCAGCGCAUCAAUGCUCUCUCUCUCCUUUGUCGCGAGAAAGCCAAAGGCUAUCAUUCUCGACUUCUCCGUCUUCUCUCUACGCGAUCUCGGCGACCUCCGCGUCUCUCUCGUUAUCGGCGUCUGAGAAUCGAACCUCGUCGUCUCUCUGUCCAACCUCGUCGUCUCUCUGUCCAACCUCGUCGUCUCUGUCUCCACUUCUCCGUCUUCUCUCUCGGUGACUUUCAUUCUGGAGAACUCCGUCUUCUCGGUCGGUGAUCUCGUUCUCGGCGUCUCUGAAGCGAAUCGCGUC
rnacentral:lncRNA from 1 species